rnacentral:tRNA from 1 species
GGUGGUACAGCUCAGUGGUAGAGUGCUUGCCUGGUAUGCACAGGGCCCUGAGUUCAAUCCCCAAUACCACCU